AUUGCUGAAUUGGUAUACGUCGCAGAUUAGCACGGACAACAUCCAUCCGGGAAAGAUGAAUUGGGUGGAGGGAGUGAAGAAGUCGCGAGCAAAGGAAUCCCCGAGCGUCUGCCACGAAUCGAGGUCAACGGCGAGACGAAAAGAAAUAUCUAUAGCUCUGGAGUUCGGCGUUGGUUGCGUGAAAUCAGUCUCAUGCGACUAACUGAAGAAUUGGAUCAUCAGUAGGAGAAUUGACCAUGCUUCAGAAUGAUACAGGAAUACCUAACCAACACAUAUGAGGAAAGUUUCCUUUCCGAGAACAACUAAGAAAACAUAUUCGACGAAUCAGCAUAAAUGGCAUUUGGGUUAACCCCAAAAAGAAGAAUUCUCUCUCACUCUGACAAACUUUCUUUUGGGGAGCCAUUGAGACCGGGAUACUUCGUCCUUUCUCACUCGGUCAAGGGAGUUCAGCGUCCAUUUGGGUAAGUACCCGAAAGCCCCUGGGGGUAGGGAAUGUGUAGUGUGGGUUUUUGGG